CAAACUGCAAAGGUACACGGUAUAGGCUCCCGCUCCAGCCCUUUCUGUAACUGCCCCAGCUGUGAGCCUUGAGCGUUGUUAUGAGAAGAAAAUCUAGGCUAUUUCUCAUUUGCUCUCAGUUCUUCUUCAGCUGUCAAGACCUCUCUCAUUUAGAACAGCCGUGUGAGAAAACCAGGAGGCAGCAGAAACACAACUGGGAGACUCCUGGCUAAGGUCGAGACGUGUACGUGGGCUCCGUCUCUGUCAUCAGUCAUGAAGCCAAAUUAAACUGAAGCAUAAGCAUUGCCCUCCAUCAUGUUUAUCUGCAAGAUAUUAAUAAAAACACGGUGGCUGUUCAUUCCAUUUUUCACUUUUACUUGUCAUUACCUUGUUGCACCAAUCAAGCAAACAGAUGGUGAUCACUUAAUUGAAGUACAGAGGCUGAGCUUUACACCUAUAUUUCAUAACUGUCUGGACGAUGGAACCAUGUGCACGUUUUACCAACAGCCCUUGAGAGAGGUUAUCUUGCAUGGCUUAAGAGAUGUGCUCUCCCUGUCACCUCUUCCUGCAGCUCUUUAUCCUGCAGUACUGCAUCUCCCCUCCCUGGCUCCCUGUCUAGAGACAGACAGCAAAAUCUUUACUGCAGGCAUUUGACUGCUUCCUGCAGCACAGGAAGGAGCGCUGUGGGUCAUCCUAACAGCCAAACCCAUAAACAAGCU
rnacentral:lncRNA from 1 species